UCUCCGUAGGUGAACCUGCGGAGGGAUCAUUACCGAGUGAGGGUCCUUGUGGCCCGACCUCCAACCCCCUGUCUUCCGACUCUGUUGCCUCGGGGGCGACCCGGCCCUCUGGGCGUCGGGGCCCCCGGGGUCAAUCAAACACUGCAUUCUCUGCGUCGGAGUAUUAGUAAAUCUAAUCAAAACUUUCAACAACGGAUCUCUUGGUUCUGGCAUCGAUGAAGAACGCAGC
rnacentral:misc_RNA from 1 species